AUUGAACGCUGGCGGCGUGCUUAACACAUGCAAGUCGAUCGGUAACAGGUGUAGCAAUACAUGCUGACGAGAGGCGGACGGGUGAGGAAUAUUUGGGAAUCUGCCCAUCAGCGGGGGACAACCCGGGGAAACCCGGGCUAAUACCGCAUACGCUCUACGGAGGAAAGCCGGGGACCGCAAGGCCUGGCACUGAUGGAUGAGCCCAAAUCGGAUUAGCUAGUUGGCGGGGUAACGGCCCACCAAGGCGACGAUCCGUAGCUGGUCUGAGAGGACGGUCAGCCACACCGGCACUGAGACCAGGUCCGGACUCCUACGGGAGGCAGCAGUGGGGAAUAUUGGACAAUGGGGGAAACCCUGAUCCAGCGACGCCGCGUGGGUGAAGAAGGCCUGCGGGUUGUAAAGCCCUUUCGGUAGGGACGAAAGCUCUUGCUCUAAUAAUGCAAGAGGUUGACUUAACCUACAUAAGAAGCACCGGCUAACUCUGUGCCAGCCGCCGCAGUAA
rnacentral:rRNA from 1 species